rnacentral:rRNA from 1 species
AUUGAACGCCGGCGGCAGGCUUAACACAUGCAAGUCGAACGGCAGCAUGGAGAGCUUGCUCUCUGAUGGCGAGUGGCGCACGGGUGAGUAAUGCAUCGGAACGUACCGUGUAAUGGGGGAUAACGUAGCGAAAGUUACGCUAAUACCGCCUACGACCUGAGGGUGAAAGCAGGGGAUCGCAAGACCUUGCGUUAUACGAGCGGCCGAUGUCAGAUUAGCUAGUUGGUGAGGUAAAGGCCUAACAAGGCGACGAACUGUCGAGGGUCUGAGAGGAUGCACCAGCAUACUGAGAAUGAGACACGGCCCAGACUCCUACGGGAGGCAGUAGUGUGGAAUAGUGGACGAUGGGCGUAAGCCUGAUCCAGCCAUGCCGCGUGUUGGAAGAAGGCCUUUUGGUUGUAAAGCACUUUAAACGACGAGGAGUCGACCUGUAUUAAUACUCUAGGAUGGUGGACGUUACUCGCAGAAUAAGCACCGGCUAACUCUGUGCCAGCCGCCGCAGUAACAC